GGCACCUAUUAUGCCCCUUUUUACAAGAUAUAAUAAUGGUCUUGGGUGUCCCCAGAAUGUAUUUGUGAAGUUUCAGCACAAAAUACCCCACAGUUAAUUUAUUAUAACCAUUUGAAAAUGUCAUUUUUGGGGCCUGUUUUAAAAAGAGCUGUUUUGGUGUGUACCACCUUAAAUAUAAAUGAGCUGCAUAUCCCCGCCCUGCCUUUGGAUGAGGGCGUAACUGGCACACCUAUUACAAUGAGCGAUCGGUAGAAGCAGAAUGGCUGAGAGUGGGAGACCCGCUGUUUUGUAUGGCAUUCAGCCGUAUAUGUUUGAACCGGAAUCAGACCCAGAUGAUGAAGAGACUCCGGCAGAAGAAACACAAAUGAGAAUGGAGCAGGACGUCUCUGAAUGGUGUUUAUGUGGCAAAUGUGAGAAGAUGGCUACAGAACCAGAAAAUAUAUGCUGCAGGGAGAUAGAACAGGUUACAAGACGGAUGCAACAACUUCAAGUCACUCCAUCAUGUAUGGUAGACCAUCCCGGAAUGGAUCCAGUUUGUUUAAAUGGGUUUUCGUUACAAAACGCUUUUAACAUUUACAGGUCUGACUAUG